rnacentral:lncRNA from 1 species
AUAAGGUUGAAUAGAAUGAGGAACAGAAACAAUGGGUAGCAAUUUGUUUGGGGAUUGUGCCAACCUCUAGGAUCCCCUUCUCUGCCAUGGAUUUGGAUGCUUGUAGAUUUGUAUCGGGGCACAACAGAGAUGAGGAAGGACAAAGCCCGAACAGCUCAAGUGAAAGUGAACGGAUAUGAACACCACAACCCUCUCAGGUGGGACUGCCAC